rnacentral:ribozyme from 1 species
UUCAAAAGUAGUUAUGUUGGUAGUGUUGUAGCAAUACCUCGUUGAUAGUCUCCACCACCUACUCCUACUCAAUACGUCCCCGUCAUACAGAACGGUAACACGUCUCUAAAUUAUCCAAGCUUGGGUAUACGGAGACCCUACCCCUUCUACAAGUCUACAUGACUCUACCCGGGAGGG